UACGGAGGAUGCAAGCGUUAUCCGGAAUGAUUGGGCGUAAAGCGUCCGCAGGUGGCUGUGUAAGUCUGCUGUUAAAGAGUGAGGCUCAACCUCAUAAAAGCAGUGGAAACUACACGGCUAGAGUGCGUUCGGGGCAGAGGGAAUUCCUGGUGUAGCGGUGAAAUGCGUAGAUAUCUGGAGGAACACCGGUGGCGAAGGCGGCAUCCUGGACCAACACUGACACUGAGGAGCGAAAGCCAGGGGAGCAAACGGG
rnacentral:rRNA from 1 species